UGCUUACAUCAGCCAGAAGUAAUUUAUGCA
rnacentral:piRNA from 1 species